UACGUAGGGUGCGAGCGUUAAUCGGAAUUACUGGGCGUAAAGCGUGCGCAGGCGGUCUGUUAAGACAGAUGUGAAAUCCCCGGGCUUAACCUGGGAACUGCAUUUGUGACUGGCGAGCUAGAGUAUGGCAGAGGGGGGUAGAAUUCCACGUGUAGCAGUGAAAUGCGUAGAGAUGUGGAGGAAUACCGAUGGCGAAGGCAGCCCCCUGGGCCAAUACUGACGCUCAUGCACGAAAGCGUGGGGAGCAAACAGG
rnacentral:rRNA from 1 species